GUUGCUGUUGGAUGUGAGAUGGAU
rnacentral:miRNA from 1 species